GUAGGUGGCAAGCGUUGUCCGGAAUUAUUGGGCGUAAAGCGCGCGCAGGUGGUUCUUUAGGUCUGAUGUGAAAGCCCCCGGCUCAACCGGGGAGGGUCAUUGGAAACUGGGGAACUUGAGUGCAGGAGAGGAAAGUGGAAUUCCACGUGUAGCGGUGAAAUGCGUAGAUAUGUGGAGGAACACCAGUGGCGAAGGCGACUUUCUGGCCUGUAACUGACACUGAGGCGCGAAAGCGUGGGGAGCAAACAGGGAUUAGAUACCCUGGUAGUCCACGCCGUAAACGAUGAGUGCUAAGUGUUGGGGGGGUUUCCCGCCCCUCAGUGCCCGCAGCUAACGCAUUAAGCACUCCGCCUGGGGAUACGGUCGCAAGACUG
rnacentral:rRNA from 1 species